rnacentral:lncRNA from 1 species
GCAAUCCCCAGUGUGAUUAUAACAGCUCCCUCCAAUAACGAGACGAGGCUACGUUUAGAGGGAUCAAGAAGAACUGUCUAAACCUUUAUUUCCCUUGGGACCAGCCCAUAGGGUCAGAACAUUAACAUUGAUGUGAAAACUCAAUAAAAUCACAAACAGUCAAACCAUAGCAGGCAACACACAGUGACUUAUCACAACACAAUGGCACAUUUUUAAAGGGGUGGGGGAGAC